UACGAAGGGGGCUAGCGUUGUUCGGAAUUACUGGGCGUAAAGCGCACGUAGGCGGAUUUGUAAGUCAGGGGUGAAAUCCCGGGGGCUCAACCUCGGAACUGCCUUUGAUACUGCAAGUCUCGAGUCCGAUAGAGGUGAGUGGAAUUCCUAGUGUAGAGGUGAAAUUCGUAGAUAUUAGGAAGAACACCAGUGGCGAAGGCGGCUCACUGGAUCGGUACUGACGCUGAGGUGCGAAAGCGUGGGGAGCAACAGG
rnacentral:rRNA from 1 species